rnacentral:lncRNA from 1 species
UCAGAGCAAACCUGAUAAUUAAUCUUUUACAUUCUGUAGAACCAUCAAGGGGUAGAUGUUGGCCACGAGUUUUAAAGCUGUUCCAUGCCAGGGUGAGGAUUAAACCCUCGACCACUGAUUAAGGUAGUAAAUACUCUUACCGUCUCAUUUAACUCUCGUGAUUAAUUAAAUAUUAAUUUUAAGCCAAAGUCAUAUAGCUUUUGGAAAAUUAAAUAUUGUUAGUUCUUUCCAAUAAGAUUAGUCAAGAUUUUGAUGCUAACGACCUCCUUUUACCAUAAAAAUUUCCACACCCGACUUGACUUUAAACAAAUGCAUUCUAUUUUGAAGUAAUUCCUUCCUUCCUUCUUCUUCUUCUUCUUCUUCUUCUUCUUCUUCUUCUCCAUUGGGGCAUCAACUGGUUUUUUCUUCAUAGCGUUGGAGAUGGGGGAGUUCUGCAUAAACCUAGACGUGGAUAUCAUGGGACUUGUACUUGCACUGGUUAUUGCCAUCGCGCUCAUGCUCACCUGUGUCAACCAACCUCCACGCGCACGCCCCCGCCCAGCUAUGGUUGUCACUCAUCGUAUAGCUUGGUAAGGGCUCAAGCAAGGGAUCAUCAUCAUCAUCAUCAUCAUCAUCAUCAAUAAUCUUGUUUCUUUUGAAGUUUGGUUUUUUUUUUCAAGUUUCAUGGGAUAGUUUUUCAUGUUUUUGAGAAUUGGGAUUGUGCCAAUGAACUGAUAAAAGGGUUUAAAAAGUUGAUCUAGAUUUUGUAAUAGAGUUUGCAAACUCCUUUAAUGUUAUUGUAUUCUCAUAUUAAAGUGAGUGUUUGUUGAUGUAAUGUAAGACAGAAAUAAAAGAGGCAAUUAAUACAGUAAAAGCAAAUUUGUAGUAAAUAAAAUUAUUUGAUGUCAAACAUUUGUAACAAAAAUCAACCAAAUUUCCAAUACACAUAUACUUUCAAUACUUACAAAAUCCCUCAAUUUCAGUUCUCCCAACAGAGGUGGAUGACUGCUUCUGGG